rnacentral:lncRNA from 10 species
CAGCCGCAAGGUCAGUGGACUGUGAUUCCUCAGCGGGGAGGCUGGGGUCUGUGUGGAGGAGACUCCUCCUGGCACGAGCAUUUUGAGUAUGCAGAACACAUCGGCACAGCCUAGAGCUGGCAGUUAGUGUACGCGCGGCACACACACACACACACACACACACACACACACACACACACACACCAGUGUUUUCCCCUCAAGUGAGGCAGCGUUAGCAACUGCAGUCCCAGCUUCCUCUGCUGAGGUACAAGCGGCCACUGCCUGAUUUGUUGGAGGAGCGCUAGAGUCCAGUAUCUGAGGGACCCGGCAACACGCAGCUGUCACAGCUAGUGGCAGACAGCCACUUCUUCCCAGCUGCUUCGCCAGCCCUGGCAAGAGGGCACACUCUUCCAAAAGCCAGCCUGCCUGGGGAGGAGGUUGCUCCACACUGAAGAGGGCCUUCCAGGGAUUCUAAGCAGACUGGCAAGUUUCCUGAACUUGUGACCACUGCAGCUGUUUCAGCACUAAAAGACAUUUUAUAAGCCCAGGCUGGCUGUGAGUGUCAUGAGGACUCCAAGACUGAUGUAUCUUUUGGGGCCAGAUGGACCUGGGGAAGACCAACCAAGGGCCUGAGUUGCGUGGGAAUGCUGUCCGAGGAUCAGAGACCAGCAGACUGUCCUGGUGAUCCAAGCAAGCAUGUUUCCCAGCAGGUCUCCACAUGAGUUGGGUGGUUCCCUGACUGUAGUGAAAGGUGCUGGAGUUGCGACUGGGCCCCUUCAGGAUCUGCUUUGAGAAGGAGGCUGAUGGCCCUGUGUAAUUGGCCCUGAUGGGCAUACAUUACCCAGCAGGCCCCCGCACAAGUUGGAUAUUUCCUCUGUUUUAACAGGAGAGGCCAGAACUGAGACUGAGACCCCUUGGUAUCUGCUAUGGGAUAGAAGCUGAAAAGUAUUGUCUCUACUCAGAAGGGUGCAUUUUGCCUACCAAAUUCUUAAACAGAUAGCAUAGUUUCUGAUUGCAGCAGGCAGGGACUGGAGCUGAGACUGGGUCCCCUCAGGAUCUGCUGUGGGAUGAAGCUGGAGAUCCUCAUCUCUUUGGUUCAGAG